UGAAUUGAUGAAACAACAAAAAUGGCUUCGGAGGAUGGAUUGAAACAACAAUUGGAAGAAUUGCAGACACAGCUAGGAAAGAAAAACAUUUUGAGGAUGUUGUGUCUUCUAUCAAAUCCCUUUUCUGCGAUUUCUACCCCUCUGCUUCUCCUUCUCUUCCCAAAUUAUUCUAUUCCGUUGUUUAGCGAGUAGCGACCAUUCUAAAAGCGGGAUAUUACAGCGCCUGGUGCUCGCUGGGUUUGGGUUGUUUGAGCAAGCUAAAAGCUUGGUUUCUGAUGCUUUUGAGAAGGAGCGUUUGAAGAAUUGCGUUGCUCAAGUUAAAGAACAUUUGCAUUUGACGGAAAAUCCACCCCAUAUUUUUCCUUGUUCGUCGCGUGGAGGUUGACUUCUGUGAAAACCAUAAUUUUUUUUUUCUUGAAAGCUUGUGAAUUUUACUAUCAUUUCUGAUUUUUUGUGGGGGUCGUGUUUGAUUCAUUUUACGGUAUCUUUUUGAGGGGCAUCUUACUGUGGAUCCUGAGCCACCGCAACCUCAAUGGUUGGUGCAAUCAAACCUAAUGAGUUCUAUGGCCUCUCUUUUGGGAGCUGAAUCUUCUGGAGCUCCAGUGGAAAAUGCAGCCAAUAUACUUGAAGAGCUCAUAAGCAACCUUGAUACCAUUAUACCUGAGGAUGAGCACAAUUCUUGUCUAAUUUGUCAGCGUGAGCCGCAAACCGAUGAUCAUGCAUAUGAGAGCUAGGAAGAGCGAGAAAAGGAGGCUGAAGAAGAGAAGAAAGGUGCUGUCAAUGUUGUUUGUGGUGGUGAAAUUUAUUUAUUUAUUUAUUUAUUUUUUCAUGGAGGCCCUAGGCGGGCACAAGGGGAAUACAAACCGGAAUUGCUACAAACGAUUAAACAAGAAAGAAGUAUCCCUUAAAGCAAUUGCUGCAAUGCUAUAAGCAGCUUGGUUACAGCCUCUUCUAACAAAUUGAAUGAAAAAUUAUCAAAAGAUUGUGCCAAAUGAAGAAUGUCUAAGACUAAUUCUUGAAUUUGGGAAGGAGUUUCAUAGCCUUUUAUGGCCUGAAUGAGCACCUGCGAAUCACCUUCAAAGAUUGCCCGCCUGAGGUUCCUCUCCUUAGCUGGAAGCAAGGCUUCUUGACAAGCUAGACCUUCCAAAACCAAGGGAUCGGUAAUUGCUUCCGCCCUCUCACAAAUCCAUCCCCUCGGGCUGCGGCUACUAUUCCUGGCUAUUGCUGCUAAAGCCCCAACCCUUUUGCUUUGUUGACAGCCGCAUAAAGGUUAACUUUCAUGACGUUCUGGGGUGGCAGAGUGAAACCAGUAUGAGGUGGUGAAUACCUUUAUAUUUAGACGACAGCCACGCACUAGAUUCAUAGUCAACAAUGCGCCAUUUCUGUAUUUAUAUUUGUGACUAUGUUCAAUUUUAAAGGUUAUAUUUUAAUUCAAUACUGUUUUGGCAAA